rnacentral:rRNA from 1 species
UAAAGGACGCGUAGGCGGUCAGAUAAGUCAGAUGUGAAAGCCCACGGCUCAACCCGUGGAACUGCAUUUGAAACUGUUUGACUAGAGUCUGGGAGAGGCAGAUGGAAUUGGUGGUGUAGGGGUAAAAUCCGUAGAGAUCACCAGGAAUACCGAUGGCGAAGGCGAUCUGCUGGAACAGUACUGACGCUGAGGCGUGAAAGCGUGGGGAGCAAACAGGAUUAGAUACCCUGGUAGUCCACGCCCUAAACGAUGAAUGCUAGUUGUUGGGGUGCUAGUCACUUCAGUAAUGCAGCUAACGCAAUAAGCAUUCCGCCUGGGGAGUACGGUCGCAGGAUUAAAACUCAAAGGAAUAGACGGGGACCCGCACAAGCGGUGGAGCAUGUGGUUUAAUUCGAAGAUACGCGAAGAACCUUACCUGGGCUUGACAUCCCGAGAACCGACCAGAGAUGGUUGGGUGCUGCUUCGGUAGAACUCGGUGACAGGUGCUGCACGGCUGUCGUCAGCUCGUGUCGUGAGAUGUUGGGUUAAGUCCCGCAACGAGCGCAACCCUCGUCCUUAGUUGCCAGCACUUAGGGUGGGCACUCUAAGGAGACUGCCUGGGUAACCAGGAGGAAGGUGAGGACGACGUCAAGUCAUCAUGGCCCUUAUGUCCAGGGCGACACACGUGCUACAAUGGCGUGUACAAUGAGAGGCGAUACCGCGAGGUGGAGCAAAUCUAUAAAACACGUCCCAGUUCGGAUUGCAGUCUGCAACUCGACUGCAUGAAGUUGGAAUCGCUAGUAAUCGUAGAUCAGCCAUGCUACGGUGAAUACGUUCCCGGGUCUUGUACUCACCGCCCGUCACACCAUGGGAGUUGAUUUCACCCGAAGCGGGGAAGCUAAACCGGCUACCUGCCACGGUGGGAUCAGCGACUGGGGUGAAGUCGUAACAAGGUAAC